GUGAAUGCUUUGGGGUGGGGUGACUGCGUACCUUUUGUAUAAUGGGUCAGCGACUUAUAUUCUGUAGCAAGGUUAACCGAAUAGGGGAGCCGGAGGGAAACCGAGUCUUAAUUGGGCGUUAAGUUGCAGGGUAUAGACCCGAAACCCGGUGAUCUAGCCAUGGGCAGGUUGAAGGUUGGGUAACACUAACUGGAGGACCGAACCGACUAAUGUUGAAAAAUUAGCGGAUGACCUGUGGCUGGGGGUGAAAGGCCAAUCAAACCGGGAGAUAGCUGGUUCUCCCCGAAAGCUAUUUAGGUAGCGCCUCGUGAAUUCAUCUCCGGGGGUAGAGCACUGUUUCGGCUAGGGGGCCAUCCCGGCUUACCAACCCGAUGCAAACUGCGAAUACCGGAGAAUGUUAUCACGGGAGACACACGGCGGGUGCUAACGUCCGUCGUGAAGAGGGAAACAACCCAGACCGCCAGCUAAGGUCCCAAAGUCAUGGUUAAGUGGGAAACGAUGUGGGAAGGCCCAGACAGCCAGGAUGUUGGCUUAGAAGCAGCCAUCAUUUAAAGAAAGCGUAAUAGCUCACUGGUCGAGUCGGCCUGCGCGGAAGAUGUAACGGGGCUAAACCAUGCACCGAAGCUGCGGCAGCGAACGUAUCACCCAAGACAACUUUACGGAGUUGACGAUUGACGGAGCGAAGCGACGUCAAAGCGUUCAUUAAAGUCGAGUUGGCUUAGGGAUACGUUCGUUGGGUAGGGGAGCGUUCUGUAAGCCUGUGAAGGUGUGUCGUGAGGCAUGCUGGAGGUAUCAGAAGUGCGAAUGCUGACAUAAGUAACGAUAAAGCGGGUGAAAAGCCCGCUCGCCGGAAGACCAAGGGUUCCUGUCCAACGUUAAUCGGGGCAGGGUGAGUCGACCCCUAAGGCGAGGCCGAAAGGCGUAGUCGAUGGGAAACGGGUUAAUAUUCCCGUACUUGGUGUUACUGCGAAGGGGGGACGGAGAAGGCUAUGUUGGCCGGGCGACGGUUGUCCCGGUUUAAGCGUGUAGGUGUGUGUUCCAGGUAAAUCCGGUUCACUUUAACACUGAGGCGUGACGACGAGGCACUACGGUGCUGAAGCAACAAAUGCCCUGCUUCCAGGAAAAGCCUCUAAGCAUCAGGUAACAUCAAAUCGUACCCCAAACCGACACAGGUGGUCAGGUAGAGAAUACCAAGGCGCUUGAGAGAACUCGGGUGAAGGAACUAGGCAAAAUGGUGCCGUAACUUCGGGAGAAGGCACGCUGACACGUAGGUGAAGUGAUUUACUCAUGGAGCUGAAGUCAGUCGAAGAUACCAGCUGGCUGCAACUGUUUAUUAAAAACACAGCACUGUGCAAACACGAAAGUGGACGUAUACGGUGUGACGCCUGCCCGGUGCCGGAAGGUUAAUUGAUGGGGUCAGCGCAAGCGAAGCUCCUGAUCGAAGCCCCGGUAAACGGCGGCCGUAACUAUAACGGUCCUAAGGUAGCGAAAUUCCUUGUCGGGUAAGUUCCGACCUGCACGAAUGGCGUAAUGAUGGCCAGGCUGUCUCCACCCGAGACUCAGUGAAAUUGAACUCGCUGUGAAGAUGCAGUGUACCCGCGGCAAGACGGAAAGACCCCGUGAACCUUUACUAUAGCUUGACACUGAACAUUGAGCCUUGAUGUGUAGGAUAGGUGGGAGGCUUUGAAGUGUGGACGCCAGUCUGCAUGGAGCCGACCUUGAAAUACCACCCUUUAAUGUUUGAUGUUCUAACGUGGACCCGUAAUCCGGGUUGCGGACAGUGUCUGGUGGGUAGUUUGACUGGGGCGGUCUCCUCCUAAAGAGUAACGGAGGAGCACGAAGGUUGGCUAAUCCUGGUCGGACAUCAGGAGGUUAGUGCAAUGGCAUAAGCCAGCUUGACUGCGAGCGUGACGGCGCGAGCAGGUGCGAAAGCAGGUCAUAGUGAUCCGGUGGUUCUGAAUGGAAGGGCCAUCGCUCAACGGAUAAAAGGUACUCCGGGGAUAACAGGCUGAUACCGCCCAAGAGUUCAUAUCGACGGCGGUGUUUGGCACCUCGAUGUCGGCUCAUCACAUCCUGGGGCUGAAGUAGGUCCCAAGGGUAUGGCUGUUCGCCAUUUAAAGUGGUACGCGAGCUGGGUUUAGAACGUCGUGAGACAGUUCGGUCCCUAUCUGCCGUGGGCGCUGGAGAACUGAGGGGGGCUGCUCCUAGUACGAGAGGACCGGAGUGGACGCAUCACUGGUGUUCGGGUUGUCAUGCCAAUGGCACUGCCCGGUAGCUAAAUGCGGAAGAGAUAAGUGCUGAAAGCAUCUAAGCACGAAACUUGCCCCGAGAUGAGUUCUCCCUGAGACUUAGAGUCUCCUGAAGGAAC
rnacentral:rRNA from 1 species